rnacentral:rRNA from 1 species
AGGAACGAUCCACUGCGCCUCGCCUGCGGCACACACACCCCUCGACACCCAAGGUUUGGUUGGAUCGUCGUGCUCCAUGGGGCUUCUUGACCAGCUGUGGGACGACACAGUGGCCGGGCCGCGGCCGGACCACGGCCUCGGCAGGCUCCGCAAGUACGCCUCCUUCUCCCCGUCCUCCGCGGCGGCCGGUACGACCGCCGCUGCCGUGCCGUCGGCCGACGUGGCGGCGCCGGCGGUGACGCGGAGCAUCACCAUCCUCCGCCCGCCGGCCCUGUCCGUGACGUCGCCGCGCAGCGAGUCCGGCUCCGGCUCCGCGCCCUCGUCCCCGGCCAGCGUCCCCGACUCCCCCUUCGGCACAGCAACGACGCCCAGGGGAGAGAGUGGCUGGAGCAAGCUGCGCCGCAAAGGCAGGAUGGCCGCCGACGGCAUAGAGGCUAGCCCGGGCACCCCCAGGAGCCCCACCGUCUACGACUGGUGCGUUGGCUUCAAAGUUCAAACCGAAUAUCCCCUCCUGUUUUAAAGUGCACCACAUCAUGAACCCAAAUGCUAGAUCCAACCACCAUGACUCUAUCCAGUACAGUAGCCAUAGAUCUGAUGCCUCUGAACCGUGUAUCUGGCAGGGUGGUGAUCAGUUCGCUGGACCGCUAACCGUGAAAACAGAAGCGGAUCCACCAAGACGGAGAAGCGCACGAGCACAAUGAGAGUAGCUGCAAACUAUGACCGGAAGAUCAUGGAACCCUGCCCCAGUAUAUGUUACUGUAUCAGUUAUAUGUACUACUACUAGUACUACUUCCGUUGUAAACAUCCACUCCACGUGAGAUGGUGCUAGUUUUCGUAGCCAAGGAUGUGCCACCGUGUAGAUGUUUCUAAGUCGUAGCUCAAGGAAAACUUGGUAGUAGGCAACCGGCGACGUGCAACGACCUGAGGCGAAUGAGACCGGUGUGAAGCGUGUGUGUAAAUCCUACCAGUAGGUGUAGAUGAGAGGGGAUCCCCUGCUGCUUGCUCUGUACAAGGCCCGCGGGCAGCAUGUGCUAAUGCAUGCAGUGUAAAAUACUGUCUGCAAUAUGUCAGGCAUCCUCCCUAGUUGGUUUAGCUAGUUCAAGAAAUGGCACCAAUAAUUUGAUU